AAGUCCAGGUCAGUCAGAAGUCGUCUAUAGCUCCGCCCCUUUUCUUCCUCCAGGCUGAUGUUGACGAUAUACGGUGUCACAUCGGGGUCAUAUUUUUUUGUGAGGGGUUCAUGCCGGGGUUAAAUAGCUGCUUUAUCGCUGAGAUCUGGACCUGGGGAUGAAGCGAGGAAGUGAUCUUUACCUGCUGCUGCUUCCAGUGAUGUAUGAUCUCACAAAACACACGUUUCCAAGCGGCGCCGUAAUUCAGCCACAUCACUGCAUUGUUUCUCAUCUGGUGGACGUCAAAAAAGGCGACGAGUAAAAACCUAUUUGGUGAAA